rnacentral:rRNA from 1 species
UACGGAGGGUGCAAGCGUUGUCCGGAUUUAUUGGGUUUAAAGGGUGCGUAGGCGGUCUUUUAAGUCAGCGGUGAAAUCCUCCAGCUUAACUGGAGAACUGCCAUUGAUACUGAAAGACUUGAGUACAGACGAGGUAGGCGGAAUUGACAGUGUAGCGGUGAAAAUGCAUAGAUAUUUGUCAAGAACACCGAUUGCGAAAGGCAGCUUUACUAGACUGUAAAC